GGGCCUAUAGCUCAGUUGGUUAGAGCAGAGGACUCAUAGCGAAAGUUGUGCCUUAUGCGUGGAAACUGCAUAAGGGAUGGUGUCAAAUUCGGAGAAAGCUAAAGGUAGCUUAUUUAAUAACUACCCAAGCUAACGCCGAGCCAAGCUUCAGUAUGAAAGUGCUGUUGAAGGUGUAGAGACUAGACGGCACCCACCUAAGUUCAGAAAUGAAUACGGUGAAGGCAUAGUCCAGGGAGUAGUGAAAACUACACAAACCGGAAUCCUUUGGUCCCAGGUUCAAGUCCUGGUGGGCCCACCA
rnacentral:tRNA from 1 species